GUGCUCACUUUGGCAUCACAUAUAUUAAAAUUGAAUGAUACAGAGAUUAGUAUGGACCCUGCACAAAGAUGACAUGCAAACUCGUGAAGCAUUCCACAUUUUU
ensembl:snRNA U6 U6 spliceosomal RNA